GCCGAUGUAGCUCAGUGGUAGAGCAGCUCCAUGGUAAGGAGCAGGCCGUGGGUUCAAUCCCCACCAUCGGCU
rnacentral:tRNA from 1 species